rnacentral:lncRNA from 1 species
AAAAGUCCUUGAAGACUGCCUUUCAGGUUUACUUAGAAACCCAGAGCAUUUUAACCCUCAGUAGUGAGCACACAGAGAUAUUCCUUCAGCAUACCAUACUGCCAUAGAGUGAUGGAGGAAUGACACCAGUAAUUUGAGACCUCUUCAGUGGCUCUGUGAUACAAAGUUAAAACCAGGUCUGCUGCAGUUUGCGGGAGGUCCACUCCAGACCCUGUUUG